GAACGGACGAGAAGCUUGCUUCUCUGAUGUUAGCGGCGGACGGGUGAGUAACACGUGGAUAACCUACCUAUAAGACUGGGAUAACUUCGGGAAACCGGAGCUAAUACCGGAUAAUAUUUUGAACCGCAUGGUUCAAAAGUGAAAGACGGUCUUGCUGUCACUUAUAGAUGGAUCCGCGCUGCAUUAGCUAGUUGGUAAGGUAACGGCUUACCAAGGCAACGAUGCAUAGCCCACCUGAGAGGGUGAUCGGCCACACUGGAACUGAGACACGGUCCAGACUCCUACGGGAGGCAGCAGUAGGGAAUCUUCCGCAAUGGGCGAAAGCCUGACGGAGCAACGCCGCGUGAGUGAUGAAGGUCUUCGGAUCGUAAAACUCUGUUAUUAGGGAAGAACAUAUGUGUAAGUAACUGUGCACAUCUUGACGGUACCUAAUCAGAAAGCCACGGCUAACUACGUGCCAGCAGCCGCGGUAAUACGUAGGUGGCAAGCGUUAUCCGGAAUUAUUGGGCGUAAAGCGCGCGUAGGCGGUUUUUUAAGUCUGAUGUGAAAGCCCACGGCUCAACCGUGGAGGGUCAUUGGAAACUGGAAAACUUGAGUGCAGAAGAGGAAAGUGGAAUUCCAUGUGUAGCGGUGAAAUGCGCAGAGAUAUGGAGGAACACCAGUGGCGAAGGCGACUUUCUGGUCUGUAACUGACGCUGAUGUGCGAAAGCGUGGGGAUCAAACAGGAUUAGAUACCCUGGUAGUCCACGCCGUAAACGAUGAGUGCUAAGUGUUAGGGGGUUUCCGCCCCUUAGUGCUGCAGCUAACGCAUUAAGCACUCCGCCUGGGGAGUACGACCGCAAGGUUGAAACUCAAAGGAAUUGACGGGGACCCGCACAAGCGGUGGAGCAUGUGGUUUAAUUCGAAGCAACGCGAAGAACCUUACCAAAUCUUGACAUCCUUUGACAACUCUAGAGAUAGAGCUUUCCCCUUCGGGGGACAAAGUGACAGGUGGUGCAUGGUUGUCGUCAGCUCGUGUCGUGAGAUGUUGGGUUAAGUCCCGCAACGAGCGCAACCCUUAAGCUUAGUUGCCAUCAUUAAGUUGGGCACUCUAAGUUGACUGCCGGUGACAAACCGGAGGAAGGUGGGGAUGACGUCAAAUCAUCAUGCCCCUUAUGAUUUGGGCUACACACGUGCUACAAUGGACAAUACAAAGGGCAGCGAAACCGCGAGGUCAAGCAAAUCCCAUAAAGUUGUUCUCAGUUCGGAUUGUAGUCUGCAACUCGACUACAUGAAGCUGGAAUCGCUAGUAAUCGUAGAUCAGCAUGCUACGGUGAAUACGUUCCCGGGUCUUGUACACACCGCCCGUCACACCACGAGAGUUUGUAACACCCGAAGCCGGUGGAGUAACCUUUAG
rnacentral:rRNA from 1 species